UUUUUGUUUGUUUUUGCUUUUUAGGGCCUCACCUGAGGCAUAUGGAGGUUCCCAGGCUAGGGGUUGAAUCGGAGCUGCAGCUGCUGGCCUACACCACAGCCACAGCCACGCAGGAUUCGAGCCACAUCCGUGACGUGCAUGCACCACAGGUCAUGGCAACACCGGAUCCUUAACCCACUGAGCAAAGCCAGGGAUCGAACCUGUGUCAUCCUGGAUCCAGUCAGAUUCCUUUCUGCUGCGCACGCCGGGAGCUCCCUAGUAUCAUUUGAAUUAAAAGGACUCUGUGUAGGUUAAUUUCUUAGCCCGUGGGAGAGGUGUGGCUCAUUGUCAGCAGCUUCGUUGUCUCAGCCUCUGGCGUCUGGAUUCCCAACUCUGUUUCUCACUUGUUCUCUCAGCUUCCCUUUGCCCAAGUGGCUGUGGCGGUUCCCAAAUGCCCGAGCAAAGACAAGCCUAGAUCAUUCAGCUACAUCGUUGACUACAAGCUACAUCUCCAACUUGGCUGCAUGGUGGACUUCAGCGCGAGUGUGGGGGUGUGUGUGUGUGUGUGUGUGUGGGUGGGUGUGGGUGUGUGUGUGGGUGUGUGUGUGUGCGCACUUCCCCCACCCCGCCCCAGCAUGGUCCUCACGGCCCACACCCAGGCUGCUCGUGCGCCUCUGCCCAAGGCCUCACCCUGUCCUCUGCGCAGCCGGCCUUGCCCUUCCAGACCUACCUGGAGUCCUCCUCCUUCCGGGCUUUCUUGAGGACGCCGGCGCCUGUCGGCCCUUCUCCCCUUCGCUCCGCGGCACUUUGGUCUCCCCCACUCAGCGAAGCACGUCGCUGUUUCGUCAGGGUUCUGGGCCCUUUGGUGAGACCGUAAGCUCCACGGAAGCAGGGACCCGUCCACCUUGGCAAGCGCCGUGGUGCCCAGCGCCGUGCCCAGCGUCACGAAACAUCCGCCAGACGUCAAAGCCACCUGAUGCUUCAAGCUGUGUGAAGCACUGAUUUACGGGCACAUGACGGGAGGUGGGGUGGGCCGUCCUCUGUCCAAGGGGAGUUGCAGAAUUCUUCCAUCAGCUCUUCCUCAGAUGUCGCCCGGGCCCAGGUUACGAUCUGCUCUUCGACGGUGGAAGCUAAUAGCUGCUUACACCGGUUUCUUGCCACACAAAGCCAGUGCGGGGGGCUCUCCAUCUCCACACCCAACAUCUUGACAUGAAAGGCUUUGUCCAAGGGCUCUGCCUAUUGAAUAGGCAGUAAGUGCCUACACUUGCUCAAGAAAAUAAGCGCGCCCACAUUCCUGACUCAUUUAACAUGUCACGCGAAUUACAGCCCAAGCCGAUGGACGUCGCGUCCAAAAGCGGGCUUCUGCAGGCGGGGUUACCUCCGGCGAAACGCUGCGCCUGUCGGAUGAUGGGGGUCUUGACACUUUUUUAAACUAAAAGAGGUAGAAACUCUCCCUCUGUGGUCUGCUGUCCUCACCAGGCCCUCGGUGGCCCCCCGCUUCCCUCCUGUCCUACGUGAGGGUUCAGUUUUGUCCCUUUUGACCAAUCCACUCUGGAAAGUAACCUUCUGGGACCAAGGACCUUCUCGACUGCGCUGCCGUGAGGAUGCCACUCCAGACAGAGUGUGCCAGAAAGGCGCUCUGUGUCAUGACCGCCCGUCCUGUUCGGAACUUUACCUCGAGGCAGGGACCUGCCUUACCACUAAAAUAUCUUGGGGUUCGGUGUUCCAGAACGCCCAGCCCCAUCACGGAUAAAACUCAAGGAGUCUUCUUUGCUCUGUUCCUAAGAAGGGCUCUUUCAUUUAAAAGGAAGGAAGGAGCUCCCCCUGUGGCUCAGCAGGUUAAGAACCCAACUAGGAUCCAUGAGGACGCGGGAUCGAUCCCUGGCCUCGCUCAGUGGGUUAAGGAUACGGCGUUGCCAUGAGCUGUGGCGUAGGUCGCAGACACAGCUCUGAUCCGAUUCAACUUGACCCUCAGCUCAGGAACUUCCAUAUGCUGCAGGUGUGGCCCUAAACAGAAAAACAAAAUUUAAGGGAAGGAAGCUAAGACUUAUUGACUGCCUAUUCAUGCCCAGCACUGCUUCUUUUCUUAUUAUUUCAUCCUUCCAGCCAAUCAUAACAUCGAACGAUGGUGGUCUCCCAACUUGCAGGCGCAGCGCUACUGGACGGUGGUCAUCUUCGAGGUGGGGUGCGGUAGCAGAUUCCGGCCACCGGAGGGCAGGCGUGGGCUACACAAGGGGGCCCGUCCAGCCCAGGGCCGAACCUUCAGGAGACCUGCUCCUUACUUCUUACGGUGGAGCCUGAGAAAGAUGACGCUGAGCAAAGGGGGCGAGAGACCUGAGACAAGGGAUCCUGCGACGCGGGACUUGCUUCAACUACAGGCUUGGAAAUGCCUGUGCCUUGGGAGCUCCCUGCUGGUCCAGGGGUUAGGGCUUGGUGCCUUCACGGCUGCAGCCUGGCUUCGAUCCCCGGUCUGGAGCUGAUCCCACAUCGAGCCGCUGCAGCCGCAGCAACAAAACAGAACAAAAACACUGCGCCUCAAACUACCCGCCCCACGCCAUAGCACACCUAUCCGCUCGCCCUUUGAUAACCCUGAGCCAUGUGAUUGCCCCGGGGCACAUAACCGCCUCACUGCGCAAGCGCCAGUGUUAGCGAGCAGCCGCCCCCCCUCCCCCCAGACAUACCCAUGCGCUGGGUAACCACUGAGAUACUGGGGAUCUAGUAUUACCAGUAGUAAUUAUUACCUUUUUGGCCAACCCCAUGGCAUAUGGAAAUUCCUGGUCCAAGGAUCAAAUCUGAGCUGAAGCGUAUAUUCAGGAAGUUCCUGGUGUGGCUCAGUGGAAACAAGCCCGACCAGCGUCCGUGAGGCUGCGGGUUCGAGCCCUGACCUCGCUCGGUGGGUUAAGGAUCCGGCGUUGCCGUGAGCUGCGGUGUAGGUCGCAGAUGUGGCUCGGAUCCCGUGUUGCUGUGGCUGGGGUGUAGGCUGGUGGCUGUAGCUCUGAUUUGACCCCUAGCCUGGGAACUUC
rnacentral:lncRNA from 1 species